rnacentral:rRNA from 1 species
CAGUCGCCACGGUAAUACGUAGGGUGCGAGCGUUAAUCGGAAUUACUGGGCGUAAAGCGUGCGCAGGCGGUUGUGUAAGACAGGUGUGAAAUCCCCGGGCUUAACCUGGGAACUGCGCUUGUGACUGCACAGCUAGAGUAUGGCAGAGGGGGGUGGAAUUCCACGUGUAGCAGUGAAAUGCGUAGAGAUGUGGAGGAACACCGAUGGCGAAGGCAGCCCCCUGGGCCAAUACUGACGCUCAUGCACGAAAGCGUGGGGAACAAACAGGAUUAGAUACCCCGGUAGUCCCUGUCUCUUAUAC